rnacentral:lncRNA from 1 species
UUAUGAAAUAAUUUGAGAUAAUUUGAAAUUCGAAUAAAUAGCUAAACUGCUUGCCAUAGGUUUAUGUUAGCUGGUAUAUAUGCCUUGUUUACCAAAGUUAAGAUGAUAGUGCAUAAUGGUAUUCAUGUAUUACAAGAGGGACGAAAGAUACCAAAGGGACAGUCAAACUCAUAAAUCUAAAACAAACUGACAACGCUAUGGCUAAAAAUGAAAAAAGACAAACAGAAAAACAAUAGCAAAAAUGACAAA